rnacentral:rRNA from 1 species
GCAGCCGCCGCGGGAAUACAGAGGGUGCGAGCGUUAAUCGGAUUUACUGGGCGUAAAGCGUGCGUAGGCGGCUUUUUAAGUCGGAUGUGAAAUCCCUGAGCUUAACUUAGGAAUUGCAUUCGAUACUGGGAAGCUAGAGUAUGGGAGAGGAUGGUAGAAUUCCAGGUGUAGCGGUGAAAUGCGUAGAGAUCUGGAGGAAUACCGAUGGCGAAGGCAGCCAUCUGGCCUAAUACUGACGCUGAGGUACGAAAGCAUGGGGAGCAAACAGGAUUAGAUACCCCCGUAGUCCCUGUCUCUUAUAC